CCCUUAGAUGUUCUGGGCCGCACGCGCGCUACACUGACGAAUGCAACGAGCUUAUAACCUUGGCCGAAAGGUCUGGGUAAUCUCCAAAUUUCGUCGUGAUGGGGAUAGAUUAUUGCAAUUAUUCAUCUUCAACGAGGAAUUCCUAGUAAACGCAAGUCAUCAGCUUGCAUUGAUUACGUCCCUGCCCUUUGUACACACCGCCCGUCGCACCUACCGAUUGAAUGGUCCGGUGAAAUCUUCGGAUCUGAGAGAUGUCUGAUUAAUUUCGGACGCCUUUUGGAAAAGUUGUUUAAACCUUACCAUUUAGAGGAAGGUGAAGUCGUAACA
rnacentral:rRNA from 1 species